GUGCUUGCUUCGGCAGCACAUAUACUAAUAUUGGAAUGAUACAGAGAAGAUUAGCAUGGCCCCUGUGCAAGGAUGACACACAAAUUUGUGAAUCAUUCCAUAUUUUU
rnacentral:snRNA from 1 species